rnacentral:rRNA from 1 species
UGGGGAAUAUUGGACAAUGGGCGAAAGCCUGAUCCAGCCAUGCCGCGUGUGUGAAGAAGGUCUUCGGAUUGUAAAGCACUUUAAGGUGGGAGGAAGGGCAGUAAGUUAAUACCUUGCUGUGUUGACGUUACCGACAGAAUAAGCACCGGCUACCUCUGUGCCAGCAGCUGCGGUAAUCCAGAGGGUGCAAGCGUUAAUCGGAAUUACUGGGCGUAAAGCGCGCGGAGGUGGUUUGUUAAGUUGGAUGUGAAAGCCCCGGGCUCAACCUGGGGGCUGCCUCGAAAACUGGGAAGCUAGAGUACGGUAGAGGGUGGUGGAAUUUCAUGGGUAGCGGUGAAAUGCGUAGAUAUAGGCAGGAACACCAGUGGCGAAGGCGGCCACCUGGACUGAUACUGACACUGAGGUGCGAAAGCGUGGGGAGCAAACA